UAGCUGCUCUCUGGAGAGUCCCAUUUUUGGGCGCCGAAGGUGCAAGGAAAGGCGUACUGCUUUUCCGGUCUCUCAGGCAAAAGGACAGAGCUAUCAGA
rnacentral:ncRNA from 2 species